UGGUGAUAAAGUUGUUAUAUUGAGGGAUUAACAACUUAGGGAUGAACGAUAUUAUGUGUUUGAAGUUGAGGAAGGUAGUGGUUAAGGUUGUUAAGUUUUAAGGAGGUUGUUAAUUGGAGGUUUGGACUAAGUGAGUUAAGGUGGUGAGGUUUUGGUUUGGAGAAGUGAAAAGGGAGGUUGAAGAAGAUGUAGUGAGAGAGGCGAGAGAGAUGAGGUGAGUAGGAAAAGAUGAAGUGAUGGAGGAGUUUUAGGGUUUUGAAGAAAAGUUCCAAUCUAAAAGAAAAAGAAUGAAAACCAAUUUUUCACUCCAAUUAUGUGUUUUUCCCUCAAAAGGAAAGCAUAUCCUCUAUUUCACUCUUUUUGAUUUUUU
rnacentral:lncRNA from 1 species